CUCACAGGUCAGUCAGUCACAGAGCCUUCUACUCACAGGUCAGUCAGUCACAGAGCCUUCUACUAACAGGUCAGUCACAGAGCCUUCUACUCACAGGUCAGUCAGUCACAGAGCCUUCUACUCACAGGUCAGUCAGUCACAGAGCCUUCUACUAACAGAUCAGUCAGUCACAGAGCCUUCUACUCACAGGUCAGUCAGUCACAGAGCCUUCUACUCACAGGUCAGUCACAGAACCUUCUACUAACAGGUCAGUCAGUCACAGAGCCUUCUACUUACAGCUGUAGCAGUUUUAAUGUUGUAUUGUGGUUGUUUAGGUGUUGUAUUGUGGUUGUUUAGGUGUUGUAUUGUGGUUGUGUUGUAUUGUGUAGGUGUUGUAUUGUGGUUGUUUAGGUGUUGUAUUGUGGUUGUUUAUGUGUUGUAUUGUGGUUGUUUAGGUGUUGUAUUGUGGUUGUAUUGUAUUGUGGUUGUUUAGGUGUUGUAUUGUAUUGUGGUUGUAUUGUGGUUGUUUAGGUGUUGUAUUGUGGUUGUUUAGGUGUUGUAUUGUGGUUGUGUUGUAUUGUGGUUGUUUAGGUGUUGUGUUGUAUUGUGGUUGUUUAGGUGUUGUAUUGUGGUUGUUUAGGUGUUGUAUUGUGGUUGUUUAGGUGUUGUAUUGUGGUUGUUUAGGUGUUGUAUUGUGGUUGUUUAGGUGUUGUAUUGUGGUUGUUUAGGUGUUGUAUUGUGGUUGUUUAGGUGUUGUAUUGUGGUUGUUUAGGUGUUGUAUUGUGGUUGUUUAGGUGUUGUAUUGUGGUUGUUUAGGUGUUGUAUUGUGGUUGUGUUGUAUUGUGGUUGUUUAGGUGUUGUAUUGUGGUUGUUUAGGUGUUGUAUUGUGGUUGUUUAGGUGUUGUAUUGUGGUUGUUUAGGUGUUGUAUUGUGGUUGUUUAGGUGUUGUAUUGUGGUUGUUUAGGUGUUGUAUUGUGGUUGUUUAGGUGUUGUAUUGUGGUUGUUUAGGUGUUGUAUUGUGGUUGUGUUGUAUUGUGGUUGUUUAGGUGUUGUAUUGUGGUUGUGUUGUAUUGUGGUUGUUUAGGUGUUGUAUUGUGGUUGUGUUGUA